rnacentral:rRNA from 1 species
UGCAGGUGGCGUCUACUACUGCAGUCGAGCGCACAGAAGGGAGCUUGCUCCCGGAUGUUAUCGGCGGACGGAUGUGUAACACUCCUGCUAACCUGCCUGUAAGACUGGGAUAACUCCGCGAAACCGGACUUAAUACCGGAUAUUUCCUUGAACCGCAUGGUUCCGGAUGAAAGACGGUUUCGGCUGUCACUUACGGAUGGACCCGCGGCGCAUUAGCUAUGUGGUGAGGUAACGGCUCACCAAGGUGACAAUGCGAAGCCGACCUGAUAGGGUGAUCGGCCACACUGGGACUGAUACACGGCCCAGACUCCUACCUGAGGCAGCCAUGCCGAAUCUUCCGCAAUGGACUAAAGUCUGACGGAUCUCUCCGCGUGAGUGAUGAGAGUUUUCGGAUCGUAAAACUCUGUUGUUAGGGAAGAACCAGUGCAAGAGUAACUGCUUGCACCUUGACGGUACCUAACCAUAAAUGCACGGAUAACUACCUGCCAGCAAUCUUGAAAAUACGUAGGAGGUCAGCGUUGUCCGGAAUUAUUGUGCGUAUAGGACUCGCAAGCGUGUUCUUAAAUCUGAUGUGAAAGCCCCCGAGUCAACCGGGGAGGGUCAUUGAAAACUGGAAAACUUGAGUGCAGAAAAGGAGAGUGCAGUUCCACGAGUGACGGUGAAAUGCGUAAAGAUGUGGAGGAACACCGAUGACGAACGCGACUCUCUGGCCUGUAACUGACGCUGAGGAGCGAGAGCGUGAGGAGCGAGCAGGAUUAGAUACCCUGCUAGUCCACGACGCAAACGAUGAGUGCUAAGUGUUAGAGGGUUUCCGCCCCUUAUUGCUGCAGCUCACGCAUUAAGCACUCCGCCUGGGGAGUACGGUCGCAAGAGUGAAACUCAAUGGCAUUGACUUGAGGUUCGCACUAGCGGUGUAGCAUGACGAUGUACUUCGAAUCAACGCGAACCACCAUCACCAUGCUCUUGACAUCCUCUGACGACCCUAUAGAUAGAGGCUUUCCCUUCGGCGCACAGAGUGAACACGUGCCUGCAUCGCUUG